GACGAACGCUGGCGGCGUGCCUAAUACAUGCAAGUAGAACGCUGAAGGAGGAGCUUGCUUCUCUGGAUGAGUUGCGAACGGGUGAGUAACGCGUAGGUAACCUGCCUGGUAGCGGGGGAUAACUAUUGGAAACGAUAGCUAAUACCGCAUAACAGUAGAUAUCGCAUGAUAUCUACUUGAAAGGUGCAAUUGCAUCACUACCAGAUGGACCUGCGUUGUAUUAGCUAGUUGGUGAGGUAACAGCUCACCAAGGCGACGAUACAUAGCCGACCUGAGAGGGGGAUCGGCCACACUGGGACUGAGACACGGCCCAGACUCCUACGGGAGGCAGCAGUAGGGAAUCUUCGGCAAUGGACGGAAGUCUGACCGAGCAACGCCGCGUGAGUGAAGAAGGUUUUCGGAUCGUAAAGCUCUGUUGUAAGAGAAGAACGAGUGUGAGAGUGGAAAGUUCACACUGUGACGGUAUCUUACCAGAAAGAGACGGCUAGCUACGUG
rnacentral:rRNA from 1 species